AGCGAACGCUGGCGGCGUGCCUAACACAUGCAAGUCGAACGUGAAAUGGGGCAACCCAAAGUAAAGUGGCGUACGGGUGAGUAACACGUAGGUAAUCUACCCUGAAAUCUGGAAUAACCUGCCGAAAGGCGGGCUAAUACUGGAUAGAGCGGCGGAAUCCGUAAUUGGGUUUUUCGGGAGAGGGAGGGAGCAAUCCCCUUCGUUUCGGGAUGAGCCUGCGUCUCAUUAGCUAGUUGGCGGGGUAAUGGCCCACCAAGGCAUUGAUGAGUAGCUGGUCUGAGAGGAUGAUCAGCCACACUGGAACUGAACACGGUCCAGACUCCUACGGAGGCAGCAGUGGGGAAUCUUGCGCAAUGGACGAAAGUCUGACGCAGCCACGCCGCGU
rnacentral:rRNA from 1 species